rnacentral:sRNA from 1 species
GCUGGGAAUGGUGGCACGUACCUGUAAUCCCAGCUACUCAUGAGGCUGAGGCAAGAGGUUUGCAAGUUUGAGGCCAGCCUCAGUAAUUUAGCAAUACCCUGUUUCAA